AACAAACGCUGGCGGCGUGCCUAAUACAUGCAAGUCGAACGGGGAAAGCUUUCGGGUGAGUACUAGUGGCGCACGGGGGAGUAAUGCGUGGAUAAUCUGCCUUAGAGGGGGGGAUGACUAGUCGAAAGAUUAGCUAAUACCGCAUCAGACCACAAGAACUGCGGUACAAGGGGUCAAAGGUUUUUCGCUCUAAGACGAGUCCGCGUAAGAGUAGCUAGUUGGUAGGGUAGCGGCCUACCAAGGCGACGAUCUUUAACUGGUCUGAGAGGAUGAUCAGUCACACUGGAACUGAGACACGGUCCAGACUCCUACGGGAGGCAGCAGUAGGGAAUAUUGCACAAUGGAGGAAACUCUGAUGCAGCGACGCCGCGUGAGUGAUGAAGGCCUUCGGGUCGUAAAGCUCUGUCGCAGGGGAAUAACACAAUGAAGGUACCCUGUAAGAAAGGAUCGGCUAACUUCGUGCCAGCCGCCGCAGUAAAAC
rnacentral:rRNA from 1 species